rnacentral:miRNA from 19 species
CUUAGUACUCGGGUUGAUAAAG